rnacentral:rRNA from 1 species
UACGGGGGGAGCAAGCGUUGUUCGGAAUUACUGGGCGUAAAGGGCGCGUAGGCGGCCGCCUAAGUCAGACGUGAAAUCCCUCGGCUCAACCGGGGAACUGCGUCUGAUACUGGGUGGCUUGAAUCCGGGAGAGGGAUGCGGAAUUCCAGGUGUAGCGGUGAAAUGCGUAGAUAUCUGGAGGAACACCGGUGGCGAAGGCGGCAUCCUGGACCGGUAUUGACGCUGAGGCGCGAAAGCCAGGGGAGCAAACGGG